rnacentral:rRNA from 1 species
UGGGGAAUCUUGGACAAUGGGGGCAACCCUGAUCCAGCCAUGCCGCGUGAGUGAUGAAGGCCUUAGGGUCGUAAAGCUCUUUCGCCUGUGAAGAUAAUGACGGUAGCAGGUAAAGAAACCCCGGCUAACUCCGUGCCAGCAGCCGCGGUAAUACGGAGGGGGUUAGCGUUGUUCGGAAUUACUGGGCGUAAAGAGCUCGUAGGCGGUUCGGUAAGUCGGGUGUGAAAACUCUGGGCUCAACCCAGAGAGGCCACUCGAUACUGCUGUGACUAGAGUGCGGUAGGGGAGCGGGGAAUUCCUGGUGUAGCGGUGAAAUGCGCAGAUAUCAGGAGGAACACCAGUGGCGAAGGCGCCGCUCUGGGCCGUAACUGACGCUGAGGAGCGAAAGCAUGGGUAGCAAACAGGAUUAGAUACCCUGGUAGUCCACACCGUAAACGAUGAAUGCCAGUCGUCGGGUAGCAUGCUAUUCGGUGACACACCUAACGGAUUAAGCAUUCCGCCUGGGGAGUAC